AACUCACCAGAAACUGGCUCCUGGAUCACCUCAUUCUCUAAGAAGUACCACUUGGUUUUUGCUUUCCCCGUUUUAUUAGUAAUGGCAGGAAGCCCUCAGCAAACAGAGCUCCUGUGUGAUGCCAGACUCCCCUUCAGAUGAGAGAACACUGUGGGAUUUUUGUCUGAGACAUCAGUCACCACAUCAAAUAAUGGCAUCAUUUCAGAGCUUACUGAAUCUGGAUGAUAUUUUAAUAGAUUUCUUUCAUGUUUGGUGAUUAUUUGUGAAUGAGGAUCUGUGCAACUUUUUAUAUUGUUUCUUUCUUAAAGUCACUUUAGUUUAUUUCCCGUUCAAAUAAGCAGAUGUCCUCCAUAAUCUAUAAAACUUCAGACCUGAUUCUUCAAGACCUGAAACUUUAUAGCAACAAUCCACAUCAUGCCUGACAGAAAGCAGUAGAUGACAUCACUGCCUUGCAACCUUUCCAGUUCCAGAUAGGAGUUUGAUAUGUCUCUGAGCCAAUUCAUGCUAUCUGAAUUUGACUUCUGGGGACUAUUUUUGACUUGAGAGUUACCAGAAUGCAAAGGGCUCCCAUCACAUUUGUAAACAUUGGAAAUUUGUGCUUUAAUUUCGAAUUGUCAAGAAGCUUAUGGUGUUCAAAGGGAGUGGGAGGCCCUAGAUAUUUAACAGAAUAAAAGAGUAUUUUCUGAAACUCAAUUGAAAUCAUCAGCUCAGCCAGGUGAAUUCAAUUGCCAAGCUUGAGAGCAGAUGUUGCUUUUUUGUUUCCCCUGCACAGGCUGGCCCUCUCAACAGCAAACCCUCUACUCUGAGACAGUUGAAUCUGUGAACAGAAACAGUCUUCCAAGGGCAUCGGUAGAACUUUCAUAACAGAGCUCUUUAUCUCAGACCUCUUCAGUUUGGAAUUUAACUCCCAUUGUUGGUUUUUUGGUGU